CCUACGGGGGGCAGCAGUGAGGAAUAUUGGUCAAUGGACGCAAGUCUGAACCAGCCAUGCCGCGUGCAGGAAGACGGCUCUAUGAGUUGUAAACUGCUUUUGUACGAGGGUAAACGCAGAUACGCGUAUCUGUCUGAAAGUAUCGUACGAAUAAGGAUCGGCUAACUCCGUGCCAGCAGCCGCGGUAAUACGGAGGAUUCAAGCGUUAUCCGGAUUUAUUGGGUUUAAAGGGUGCGUAGGCGGUCGGAUAAGUUAGAGGUGAAAUCCUGAGGCUCAACUUCGGAAUUGCCUCUGAUACUGUUCGUCUAGAGAGUAGUUGCGGUAGGCGGAAUGUAUGGUGUAGCGGUGAAAUGCUUAGAGAUCAUACAGAACACCGAUUGCGAAGGCAGCUUACCAAGCUACUUCUGACGUUGAGGCACGAAAGCGUGGGGAGCAAACAGGAUUAGAUACCCGGGUAGUC
rnacentral:rRNA from 1 species